GCUCCCCUGCUCUCUUCUCACAGCAUGAAGCCUCAGCAAAUCCCCAGUUUUACUCUCCAAAGAAGGACUGUAUCUUCAAUAAUGGUCUCCAUUCUGGAUUGAUGAGACUUCUGAAUACUUGUGCAUGAAAACCAGUGGCCUAACAUUCCAAGAUAACAGGAGAGCCAAAUUCUAGUGUCUAUAUGUGAUAGUGAGGAUUCAACCCUGGAAUCCUUUUGAAAGGGCACCUUUUGAGGAGCUUCUUCUGCUUCCCACUGACAAUACAUACUGGCAGCAGCAACCGAAGCCUCAGUCAGUGAACACUUGUAGAGAUGGAAGGUCUACUGCACACAGAAACAGCAGUACUCUGUUAAAAUAUUUCUUUGCUUAAUCAAUACUAAAGCAACUUGCAGCAUAUCUUGCAAUAGUACAUGGUAUUGAAACAAAAACUAUGUCACUUGGACACCAGAAGCUGUCAAUAAUUUGACCAAAAUGAGAAAUAAAGUAAAUUAAAAAUAUUGGGGUUUAUUCUCAUCUCAUUUAUGUUACCAUGCUGCAGCAAAUUAAGUUAAAUCCAUCAUGGUAUGUUGUAGCACUGGUGAAAUACGUGGCAAAUUGGGUCCACACUAUUUAAUAUGGCACAGAGUAUAAGCUUGAUGAUGGAUAUUUUCAUCGGUGUAUAAAGUCUCAGAAAUUCCUACUGGAUUUUACCAUUGUCAUUAAUUCGGGGGGAAGAAAAGAUACAAACAAUCAAAAUGGAGUUUUCUUCAAAUAUGAGAUAAUGGUUUUUAUUUGGCAUCUUUUAAGACCUACGGCAAAGAAAAUGCUUCUGUAUUCUAGACAUUCACA